CAGUCGCCGCGGUAAUACAGAGGAUGCAAGCGUUAUCCGGAAUGAUUGGGCGUAAAGCGUCUGUAGGUGGCUUUUCAAGUCCGCCGUCAAAUCCCCGGGCUCAACCCUGGACAGGCAGUGGAAACUACCAAGCUGGAAUACGGUAGGGGCAGAGGGAAUUUCCGGUGGAGCGGUGAAAUGCGUUGAGAUCGGAAAGAACACCAAUGGCGAAAGUACUCUGCUGGGCCGACACUGACACUGAGAGACGAAAGCUAGGGGAGCAAAUGGGAUUAGAUACCCGGGUAGUCCCUGUCUCUUAUAC
rnacentral:rRNA from 1 species